rnacentral:rRNA from 1 species
GACGAACCGUGCGAACGUUGUUCGGAAUCACUGGGCUUAAAGGGCGCGUAGGCGGCGCAUCAAGUCCGGGGUGAAAGCCCCCCAGCUCAACUGGGGAAGGGCCUCGGAGACGGGUGCGCUCGAGGGAGGUAGGGGCAGGGGGAACUUCUGGUGGAGCGGUGAAAUGCGUUGAUAUCAGAAGGAACGCCGGUGGCGAAAGCGCCCUGCUGGAUCUCUACUGACGCUGAGGCGCGAAAGCCAGGGGAGCAAACGGG